rnacentral:rRNA from 1 species
CGGCUUCUACAUGCAAGUCGAGGGGCAGCAUAAAUUACUUGUAAUUUGAUGGCGACCGGCGAACGGGUGCGUAACGCGUAUGCAACCUACCUUUUACUAGAGAAUAGCCAAGAGAAAUUUUGAUUAAUGCUCUAUACACUUUAAGACUCACAUGAGUCUAAAAGAAAAGCUCCGGCGGUAAAAGAUGGGCAUGCGUUCUAUUAGCUUGUAGGUGAGGUAACGGCUCACCUAAGCUUCGAUAGAUAGGGGUCCUGAGAGGGAGACCCCCCACACUGGUACUGAGACACGGACCAGACUUCUACGGAAGGCAGCAGUAAGGAAUAUUGGACAAUGGAGGCAACUCUGAUCCAGCCAUGCCGCGUGAAGGAAGAAGGCCCUAUGGGUCGUAAACUUCUUUUAUACAGGAAGAAAUCUUUCCACGUGUGGAAAGUUGACGGCACUGUAAGAAUAAGGAUCGGCUAACUCCGUGCCAGCAGCCGCGGUAAUACGGAGGAUCCAAGCGUUAUCCGGAAUUAUUGGGUUUAAAGGGUCCGCAGGCUGUUUGUUAAGUUAGAGGUGAAAUCCUACCGCUCAACGGUAGAACUGCCUUUAAAACUGGCAAACUUGAGUUAUUGUGAAGUAAUUAGAAUGUGUAGUGUAGCGGUGAAAUGCAUAGAUAUUACACAGAAUACCGAUUGCGAAAGCAGAUUACUAACAAUUAACUGACGCUGAGGGACGAAAGCGUGGGUAGCGAACGGGAUUAGAUACCCUGGUAGUCCACGCCGUANACGAUGGUCACUAGCUGUUUGAUGUACAUUGGUACAUUGAGUGGCUAAGCGAAAGUGAUAAGUGACCCACCUGGGGAGUACGCUCGCAAGAGUGAAACUCAAAGGAAUUGACGGGGGCCCGCACAAGCGGUGGAGCAUGUGGUUUUAUUCGAUGAUA